GGAGGGCUGCCAGAGCGGACGAAUGGGACGGUCUCGAAAACCGUUGUGGCUGCAAGGUCACCGUGGGUUCAAAUCCCACGCCCUCCGCCA
rnacentral:tRNA from 1 species